GCAGUAGCCACGGUAAUACGGAGGGAGCUAGCGUUGUUCGGAAUUACUGGGCGUAAAGCGCGCGUAGGCGGUUACUCAAGUCAGAGGUGAAAGCCCGGGGCUCAACCCCGGAACUGCCUUUGAAACUAGGUGACUAGAAUCUUGGAGAGGUCAGUGGAAUUCCGAGUGUAGAGGUGAAAUUCGUAGAUAUUCGGAAGAACACCAGUGGCGAAGGCGACUGACUGGACAAGUAUUGACGCUGAGGUGCGAAAGCGUGGGGAGCAAACAGGAUUAGAUACCCGCGUAGUCCCUGUCUCUUAUAC
rnacentral:rRNA from 1 species